UCCCUGCAGAAAUGCCCAGAGCGGGCUCCGUGAUGUUCCUUCCCUCCCCGCGCCAUGGGCUCCACAACCACACCUGCCCCGCCAAUCGCCCUGCACGACAGCAGGGAAAGGAGAGGUGGUGCCUUUGGGGUGUUAGAUUUUGCUCAGUGACCACAGGGAGGACCAGCGAGGCGGGGGUGGGGCUGUUGAGGGCCGUUUUGCAGGGCGAAUCCCUUCUGGGUGCCCAGGGGGCAGCAUCUGGGCACCGGGUGUCAGCGCUGUCUCCAGGCUUUGCUCAGAGCCCGCGCAGUGCGCGUGGGGCGUGUGUGUGUGUGUGUGUGUGUGUGUGUGUGUGUGGUCUUGGGGCGAUCCCAAGGGGAGGGUCAGAGGCUCUGCUUCAACCAAGCCUCUCCUGUCAUGUCCCUCCUGGUCUGGGCGUGGUCCCUGGGGACCUUACCUCCACUUUAGAACAAAGCAGGGUUAUUUGGAGAAAGGAAGGAAAAAACUGGGGGCAGAGGCACCCGGAGUGGCAGUGCCGGGCAGCGUGCCCCACGGUCACCAGGGAGGCAGGUGGGUGGUGGAAGGUGCGGGGAGAGGAGAGGGCCGUGAGUGGGGAGGCAAGCCAGGGCCCGGCCUUUGUACACUCCUGUGCUGUUCUCUGGGGCCCAAUAUGGCCGAGAGGACGCCUUCCUUCUCUCUCCUCCCAAAAGCCCUUCCUCCUCCUCCCCUGCUUUUUAACUGCUUCCUUCCUGCAAGGCUCUUGGUGUUAGCUUCCUCGCCUCCGUGCUGCCGGCCCGGGUAGGGGUUCAGUCCAGCCAUCUCUCUGGAUGCUUCCAGGCGGUCAGCAGGGUGGGAAGAAUCUAAGAGCAUUCUGGAUGCUCCUGGCUGGCGCCCCUCCUUCCUCUGCCUGCGAGCGAGCAGCCACGCUGAAUGACUGGGAGCCGUCACACCAUGUAGGCUUCCCUUCUUCCGCCCCCUCCCCUUACUACCCGCUCCUUCCACAACCUCCCAGGGUGGGGUGGGGACAUGGAGGGACGGAGGGGGCAGAGUGACCGUUGUUGAGAAGGAAGGCCUGCCUGCCUGCCUGCCAUUCUUGGCAGCUGUCAGGGGGCAGCGCAGGCAGGGCCCCCUGGGCCAGGGCCAGGGAUGGUGCGUCGCUGUGCGUGGCCUGCUGAGGGAGCUUCCGGAACACCAGCUCGUACAAUAGCAGAGAGCAUUCCAGAAUGGGUAGAGGGGCGUACGGGGGGCUAGAAUGUGCAUUUCCGUUCUCUGUCUUGGCGCAGAGCUUGAAAUGCUGGAGUGGCUGUGGUGAUGACGACAUAGGACGCAGACAUGGUCAUAGCACACAAAAUGGGGCUGCGUUGGAGACAGAGGCGAGCCCGUCCCCUGAGAAAUGCGUUCUUCCUUUCCUCUCUGCUCCCUGGAAGCGACGGGCUAGUCAGGAAGGACCGUCCUUCAAGUGUGGAACUUUCCGGAAUGUUUUCUCUGCAUUGAGGCAUGUAUUUAUUAUUAUUUCAAGACCACCCUCUGGUGUAUUUAUCCUUAAAUAAAGCCGGCGGCCGGAACCUGGCGCUCUUACAGGAGAGUGCUCAGACAGGUGACCGACACAGGUCCUCAGGAAGCCCCUCGUCCCCGGGGAAGCGUCAGCGUGCUCGGACGGAGUCUGGUGUGGACCACGUACCCCCCCCCCCAUUCAGAUAGCCGUGACCCCAGCACCUCAGGAUGUGGAGAGAGGGUCUUUGAGGAGGUGAUUAAGGUUACACGAGGUCACUAGGGUCGCCCUAAUCCAGGACGACUGCAGUCCUUACAGAAAGCAGAGAUGAGAACACACACACAGGGGGAAGACCCAGUGAGGACACGGGGAGAAGGUGGCCAUCGGUGAGGCCGGGACAGAGGCCUCGGAAGGAACCACCGCUGCCCACGCCUGCAGCUCAGGUUCUAGCCUCCGGAAUGGGGGGAAAAAGAACUCUCUGGCGCCCAGCCCGCCUGAGCGGACCAGCACCGAGUCUUUGGAAAAUGCGAAUGCAAGAUGGACCUCUGCAAGAUACCUCCCAGGUCCCUAAAAACACCUGCUCUGAUAGGAGGAGAAAGUUCCGGAAUAUGUGUGCUACCACCCGCGCCGAGAUGUUUUCAUGCUCCAAGCCCCCUGCCCGCCGCACUCCCCCUCAAAGAGGUGCUCUUUUAAAAAUGUAUUUACACAACAGAUCGACACUUAAAUACGUGUUUAAAGAGCAAUUAUGACUAUGUUCACCUGUCAGAACGGCAUGGUUUCGCUCAUGUGUUUUCCAGUUGGUUGGAUAAAUAAUCAGCUUGGGUGUUGUUUUUUUUUUUUAAGCCUACCAUCUAUGUAAUUAUGUAUUUACCUCUAUGAUAAUAUCACAUUGCUUUCAGAUCUAGCUACGAAUGGGGGUGAAAUAUUCCAGUAAAAGAGAGGGGAACGA